rnacentral:rRNA from 1 species
AUUGAACGCUGGCGGAAUGCUUUACACAUGCAAGUCGAACGGUAGAGGGGGCAACCCCUCGAGAGUGGCGAACGGGUGAGUAAUAUAUCGGAACGUGCCCAGUCGUGGGGGAUAACGUAGCGAAAGUUACGCUAAUACCGCAUACGAUCUAAGGAUGAAAGCGGGGGAUCGCAAGACCUCGCGCGAUUGGAGCGGCCGAUAUCAGAUUAGGUAGUUGGUGGGGUAAAGGCUCACCAAGCCAACGAUCGGUAGCGGGACUGAGAGGGCGACCAGGCAAUCUGAAACUGAUACACGGUCCAGACUCCUACGGGAGUCAGCUGUGGGGAAUUUUGGACAAUGGACGCAAGUCUGAUCCACCCAUUCCGCGUGCAGGAUGCAUGCCCUCGGGUUGUAAACUGCUUUUGUACGGAACGAAAAGGUCUCUCUUAAUACGGGGCACUCAUGACGGUACCGUAAGAAUAAGCACCGGCUAACUACGUGCCAGCCGCCGCCGUAA